rnacentral:lncRNA from 1 species
GAUAUCCUCAGUGGCUCUCGGGUGCCAUCCUGGGAGCUACCUCCCCAGUCCCCUGCGUAAUUAGGCGGCAUGUAUAUGCUGCCUGUGGGUUCUGUUCUCCAGCACAGCCGUGAAAGUGAAGAGACCUGAAGGAGCUGAGAGGACAGAUGCCUCGUGUGGGCUGGGACCUGCACUGUCCCUUGGCUCGCUGGGCACCCAGGGACCCACGGGGACGUGGCACAUGCUGUCUACAGUCAUUGCAGGCUCUCACAGCCACGGCGCUCGGCUUGGUACCCGGCGUUUAAGCAAAGCUCCUCAGAAUGUUUAGGGAUGAAGGACACCCUGCCGGCCAGCCGCGAUCUGGUGAACAACCUGAGAUGCUAGCAGUUGGGGAGUCUGGUGAGAGACAGCCCUACAGGUGCAAGGAGCAGACCCAGCUGGGGCCCUGCAGCCAGCAGAGGGGAUGGCACCUGACUGCACCUCUCUCGGAAGUUCCGGGAGCCCAGGUCCCGUGGCAGCGAGAGUCCACUUGCCGCCUCCCCUCCCAACACCCACUAAGGUCUGCGGGUCCUUUUCGUAUCCCUGUCUCGAAGUCAGGAAGAUGAGCUCUUCAGAUCUGGUGCGGUGUUGGCGGGUCACAUGCCCCCAAGCCACAGAGCCCAAACCCAACCCAGGACCCAGAACUGAUCAGGACCUGCAAGGCCAGCACCUUGCAGCAGGAGGUGCUGGAGUCCCCUGGAGUCAAUGGAAGUCUGGCCAGGGGCCCAGGGUUCCUGAGACAGGCACAAAACCCCUGUGGAAGGGGACUCAUGCCACCUGAGGGCAGUCACUGGGCUGCUGAGACGGGCGCUUCCCAUCAGCUCAUGACCAGAGUGACACUGGCACCUCUGUGCUCAGCUGGGUCUCGGAAUUACAGAGCAGGCCGGAGCCAGACAGGCGGGGUGAAUCUCGCUCGGCUGGGCCCGAGGUCCCCCGUGGGUCCUGUUCUGCGGGAUUCAGUACUAGGUUCACUGGCUCUGGACCUGGGGGUGGCAGGAACACCAGCCUGGCCACUUUUCCCUGUGUAGUGCCAGGUUCUACUUGGCAGAAGGAAGAAUGUGCCCAGGAUCUGGGGACAGAUGUGGAACAGCCACCAUCGCCCCUGGAGGUCCUCAAGGGUCCUAGUUCGAGGUGGGCAGGGGACCGACAACUUGGCUGUGCCCCUGCCCGCCAGCCUCUCUGACCGCCAGUGGCCCCAGACCAUCCGCUGUGGAAGCAGCUGUCCCCCAGACCUGACACAGCCACCGCCUGCCCCCCAGGUGCCAGCCCCUGCCCUACCCUCUGGUCACCACCUGAGGGCAUGGCCCGAGGUCUCAUCCCUGCAGAUACUGCCAUCCCAUGCUGCCUGGCCAGCUGCCCAGCUAACAUUACCUGGCGGGGGCGGGAGUGGAAGGGCCGGGCUCUGGGGCUCCAGGGCUGAUUGUCACCGAAGUCCACUGCUCUGCCUCUGGGCUGCCGCGCCUCUGUGGUUUUGCUGUAUGUCAGCGUGCGGUUUUCCCAGGGUGCUUUGUGUCUUGCUAUGGAGGUCAUUUACGGGCACAGGCGCUAACCCGCGUCCCCAGAGCAGAUGCAGAAGCCACAGAAAAGGGCUUUGCUGGGCGGAUGUGGUGGGCCUGCUGGGCCCCUGGAUUUGGGGGAGCCAGGAGCGGGGUGGGCACCCCAUCCCCAUGUGACCUGCCAGCCCAGGGGGGGCUCAACAUAGUGUCCCCUUGUAGAUGAAGGCACAUGCAUCCGGGGCCAGCUCCGGGGAGCCGGGGGAGGUGGGCGGCAGCAUAGGACAGCAGAGCGCCCCACCCCGUACGGUUUAAUAGGCCCUUAUCUCAGGGACAUUGCCCAGAGCCGGGCGGGCCUCGUAAACCAAGGGCCUGUUUUAUGUGCUUUCCCACCAGAUGCUGGGGGACCCUGAGAAAGACUCUCUAAGGAGAUUAGAUGGGCUGGGAAGAGGGCUCAGCCUGGGCUUCUCCCUGGGGGCUCAGCCUGGGCUCCCACCCCAUUUCCUCCCUGGCCUCAGCACCCCACUCCUGUUGGGGAGCUCGCCGUGGGGCUGCACGCUGCUCUCUGGUGAGGCCACUGCAGCAGGCCAGAACACUGUGCAGGAAGAGAUGCCAAAUAAUGU